rnacentral:rRNA from 1 species
UACGUAGGGGGCAAGCGUUGUCCGGAAUCAUUGGGCGUAAAGCGCGUGUAGGCGGCCCGAUAAGUCCGCUGUGAAAGUCCAGGGCUCAACCCUGGGAUGCCGGUGGAUACUGUCGGGCUCGAGUCCGGAAGAGGCGAGUGGAAUUCCUGGUGUAGCGGUGAAAUGCGCAGAUAUCAGGAGGAACACCAAUGGCGAAGGCAGCUCGCUGGGACGUGACUGACGCUGGGACGCGAAAGCGUGGGGAGCAAACAGG